rnacentral:rRNA from 1 species
ACUCAAAGGAAUAGACGGGGGCCCGCACAAGCGGAGGAACAUGUGGUUUAAUUCGAUGAUACGCGAGGAACCUUACCCGGGCUUGAAAUGCAUCUGACCGAAGUGGAAACACUUUUUCUAGCAAUAGCAGAUGUGUAGGUGCUGCAUGGUUGUCGUCAGCUCGUGCCGUGAGGUGUCGGCUUAAGUGCCAUAACGAGCGCAACCCUUGCCGUUAGUUGCCAUCAGGUUAUGCUGGGAACUCUAGCGGGACUGCCACCGUAAGGUGUGAGGAAGGUGGGGAUGACGUCAAAUCAGCACGGCCCUUAUGUCCGGGGCGACACACGUGUUACAAUGGGCGGUACAGAGGGAAGCUACCCGGUGACGGGAUGCUAAUCUUUAAAACCGUUCUCAGUUCGGAUCGGAGUCUGUAACUCGACUCUGUGAAGCUGGAUUCGCUAGUAAUCGCGCAUCAGCCAUGGCGCGGUGAAUACGUUCCCGGGCCUUGUACACACCGCCCGU